rnacentral:rRNA from 1 species
ACGUAGGUGGCAAGCGUUGUCCGGAUUUAUUGGGUUUAAAGGGUGCGUAGGCGGCUUGACAAGUCAAAGGUGAAAUCCCUCGGCUCAACUGAGGAACUGCCUUUGAAACUGUCUGGCUUGAGGCCGGGAGAGGGUAGCGGAAUUCCCAGUGUAGCGGUGAAAUGCGUAGAUACUGGGAGGAACACCGGUGGCGAAGGCGGCUACCUGGACCGGUUCUGACGCUGAGGCGCGAAAGCGUGGGUAGCAAACAGGA